CUGGGCUUGUUGAGACCAUCUUCACCAUUCACCACAAGAGCGAGUAGAGCCCAAGCUCAGGAACUCACCUUGGGUGCAGGCACUGCUGUGCUUCCAGAAAACAUCCCCUGUACAAAGAGAGAUGACAAGGCCUGCCAAAGCCAGGGAUUGAACCAGGGACCUUUACAGCUUCAGUUUAACACUCUCCCAACUGAACUACUUUGGCACCUGUGUGAAAGCAUUUUGGUCAGUUGCUUCUCUGUCUGGGAUGUUUUUGUCAGCAGUUGCAGACAAAAAGGACAGGAAAACAAACGGCUGCUCCACACCCCCACCGGAGGAACCCGGCACCUUUAGCUGUGCCCCAUAGCUCCCAUGGAGUCACUGACUUGGCUUCCUUCGCACUCUAGAGACAGGAGCAGAACCAGGGCUAUGGCUGAUCUAUGGGGCAUCAGGUGAGUGCCAGAGGCUUCAGGUGCUGAGAGUUUGCCUGACCUCUCAGGGUCACAGUGUGAGGUGAUGCCCCAGGGAUCUCUAUGAAAGGAGCAGAACAGGAUUUACUUGG